GAUGAAGAACGUAGCGAAAUGCGAUAAGUAGUGUGAAUUGCAGAAUUCAGUGAAUCAUCGAAUCUUUGAACGCACAUUGCGCCCCUUGGUAUUCCAUGGGGCAUGCCUGUUCGAGCGUCAUUUGUACCUUCAAGCUCUGCUUGGUGUUGGGUGUUUGUUCCGCCUCUGUGUGUGAACUCGCCUCAAAACAAUUGGCAGCCGGCGUACUUGUUUCGGAGCGCAGCACAUUUUGCGAUCCAGAUCAACGUACAGCGGCAUCCAAGAAGCCUUAUUUAACGCUCUUGACCUCGGAUCAGGUAGGGAUACCCGCUGAACUUAAGCAUAUCAAUAAGCGGAGGA
rnacentral:misc_RNA from 1 species